AUUGAACGCUGGCGGCAGGCCUAACACAUGCAAGUCGAACGGUAACAGGAAGAAGCUUGCUUCUUUGCUGACGAGUGGCGGACGGGUGAGGAAUGUCUGGGAAACUGCCUGAUGGAGGGGGAUAACUACUGGAAACGGUAGCUAAUACCGCAUAACGUCGCAAGACCAAAAAGGGGGACCUUCGGGCCUCUUGCCAUCGGAUGUGCCCAGAUGGGAUUAGCUAGUAGGUGGGGUAACGGCUCACCUAGGCGACGAUCCCUAGCUGGUCUGAGAGGAUGACCAGCCACACUGGAACUGAGACACGGUCCAGACUCCUACGGGAGGCAGCAGUGGGGAAUAUUGCACAAAGGGCGCAAGCCUGAUGCAGCCAUGCCGCGUGUAUGAAGAAGGCCUUCGGGUUGUAAAGUACUUUCAGCGGGGAGGAAGGGAGUAAAGUUAAUACCUUUGCUCAUUGACGUUACCCGCAGAAGAAGCACCGGCUAACUCCGUG
rnacentral:rRNA from 1 species